GGUGGCCACUCCUCCAGGAGCAAGGAAGGCUCUGUCUCAACAGAAUACUUUCUCAAAAUUGUUUCUGGUACAAAAUGAAUGUACCGGAGAUAUGAGGUGUGGAGCUGCAGAGACCAGGCCAGCUGCCCUCCCCAGACCUCAGAUCAUGGCUGUGCAGGAAGUUGACGGAACAAAAUGAGGGCAAGAUAAUGGAUGGACUAACCGUCUGCAUGUCCUUGAGAGGACACAGCCCCAGUUCUGCCUCCUGCUGUUCCUCUCUGUGGCCACCAGAGGUCCGAGUGCAGCACUGCCUCGGUGGAGGAGGAUACUUUUCAGAGAGCAGUCCCCUGCAGUGUGCAGAUUUCUCCUCCUUUGACUGGGAUGGAUAUGGAGCUCACUGGGGUCACAGCUCCAGCCGGGAGAUCACUGAGGCAGCUGCGCUCCUGUUCUACCGCUGAGAGCUGUGCUGUGAGACGUGGAACCCAGCUCCUAAGCCCAGACCCUCAGAGAUGGAAAAAUAGAACGCUAACAAAGAGAGAAGGGAAU
rnacentral:lncRNA from 1 species